rnacentral:rRNA from 1 species
UACGUAGGGUGCGAGCGUUGUCCGGAAUUAUUGGGCGUAAAGAGCUCGUAGGCGGUCUGUCGCGUCGGAUGUGAAAACACGGGGCUCAACCCCGUGCCUGCAUUCGAUACGGGCAGACUAGAGUUCGGUAGGGGAGACUGGAAUUCCUGGUGUAGCGGUGAAAUGCGUAGAUAUCAGGAGGAACACCGGUGGCGAAAGCGCUCAUCUGGCCCAAUACUGACGCUGAGGCGCGAAAGCUAGGGGAGCAAACGGG